rnacentral:lncRNA from 1 species
GAAUGCUUCCUUGAGCUCCUCCUCAGAAUCGGUGUCCUUCAUCUUGCGAGCCAUCAGGUUGAGGAACUCUGGAAAGUCAAUGGUACCAUUUCCAUCAGCAUCAACUUCAUUGAUCAUAUCCUGGAGCUCAGCCUCGGUUGGGUUUUGUCCCAAUGACCUCAUAACUGUCCCCAGCUCCUUGGUGGUAAUGCAACCUGAAGCAAUAAUUGACCUUGAUCCAUUAAUUCAUACUCCCAAUACAGAGACAUAAACUCAACCAACAUAAUACAGCCACAAAUAUCACAUAAGAGAGGAAAAGGAAUAGGUAUAUGAAGCAAUUAUGCAAUGGCUAGGGGGGAAAAAACCACUGAUUCCAUCCAGUAUUCUAGCAAGAAUCUUGAUUCUACUAAACUC